rnacentral:rRNA from 1 species
AUGGCGUUCGGCCUCGCCUGUUGCGCCGUGGAGAUGAUGCACACCGGCGCCUCCCUAUACGACUUUGACCGCUUCGGCGUCAACUUCCGCCCCUUGUCGCGCCAGUCCGACUGCAUGAUCGUCGCCGGCACCCUCACCAACAAGAUGGCGCCCGCGCUCCGCAAGUCAUGA